rnacentral:lncRNA from 1 species
GUCUGUCCGUCCGUCAUUUUUUGUAAGCCAAUUUUCAUAGCCUAAAAAUAGUCAGAGAAGCAAGGGGAGAGAGAGGAGGAGCACGCGGUGGUGGGAAAGCAGGAAAACCGCCUCUAAAAUAUACAAAAAGGAGAGGAAAAUCGCUGUCAAAAUGACUGUCCACUCCCCAGAGUGGAGAAGGAGCUGCCCCAUCCAUCCAUCCAUCCAUCUCUGGGGGGGAGAGUUGACUACUUCAAAUCAUUCCUAGAGACAUUUUUGUGGCUGUAACUCUCUCUCUCUCUCUCUCUCUCUGUGCACAUCUGGUAGCCGCCAUUUCUCAAUCUGUGGCUAAUACAAUAAUCCAACGCGGUCUGUUAUAAUAUUUACAGCUUGGAAUUAACUAACGAGCUCGUAAGCCACCACGAACCGGUUCAAGAGUCAACAAAAGCUCAACAGGUGUUCAUUUGGCACUGGAAUGAAAUGGAAUGGAAUGGCACGAGGAAAGAAACGAAGCAAGCGGAACAAGGAAUGGAACAGAGUGGCAAAGAACAAAGAAAGGUGGAAUGGAAAACAUUACAACGGAAUGGAAUGGAUGCGAAAAAAGGAGCCUCGCCUCGUGCCAUGACUUUCACUCUUGCAGCCACACAAUCCCCUGAACCAUCCUGACAGUGCCUCUGCCUCUCCUCCACCCACUAAGCACUGCCCACACGCUAAUUGCGGCAAACACACAGCAACAAGAAAUGCGCAAAUGGAACGCCAGGAAACAAGGAGAAGACCACCAGCAGCCAGCAGCAGAGCAACCGGCCACUGCCACACAUGCAACAUGCCACUCACCCGAGUGGAAGGAGACUGACUGACUCUCUUCAGAUGCCCCAGCACCAAGCUCCAGCUCCGAUCUCCAGGCUCUUGCUCCGCUUACGCGUUUUCGGUUAGAAAAAAGUCAAACAAAAACAAAAGCAAAAAGCAAAGCAAAGUAAAAGAAAAUUCCCAUAAGCAAAUAAACACUUGACUUGAUUGUGGACGCGACUGUUGGACCAAAUGGUACGUGGCAUGUGGCAUUGUUAUGGCUGUGUGGCAUCACUUGGGCUUCCAACUGAGCAACUGAGCAACUGAGCAACUGUGCAACUGUAGCACAAAAAUUGAAUACAAUUUAUGCACCUUCUAGUGUCGACGGUGGUGUGGUGUCCUUUCGCUUAUGGGUAAUUUGCUGCAGCAAAAACGGGACUGCCAUAAGAUCUGCUGGAAUUGGAGCCCCCGAAGGCAGAGAGGAAGCCCACGCCACAUCAUUCACAUGCGGCAGGCAAACCGUCACCAGGCAGGCAACAAACAAACAAAAAGAAAGAAAAGCCAAACCACAUUGCAACUUGCAACUGGCAACUUGCAACUUGCAACUGCAGCAAACAGUAACUUAAACUGCAGCAGCAGCUACCAACAGUAGGGACCACCGCAUAGCAAUUAUGGAUCUCUGGAGCGGCCUCUGCUCUGCCUCUGCCUCUGCUGCUCCUAUCUAGUGGCAAGUGGAGGCGACACGAAGAGCGGCUGCUGCUGCUGCUGCUGCUGCUGCAAUAAUUUCCAUUGCCGGGCCCCGUCGCCACAAAUCUGCCAACAUAAUUUUGUUAUUUCACUGCCACUUUGUUUGACGUGCAAAUGUUUGGCUUUGGCUUUGGCUUUGGCUUUGGCUGUGGCCUUCAGUGCUGUGUGUUGGGGCACCUCCGUUCGUGGCACAUCCUGGUUUAGUUCGGUUCGGCUAGAUGAUUUUUCAAUUUGUGCUUAGCCUAAGACAAUCAGGCAACAGCAGCAACGAACAACAAAACAACAACAAAAAAAAAAGGGGCAACCGCAGCCACACCAUGAACCACGG